rnacentral:rRNA from 1 species
UACGUAGGGGGCAAGCGUUGUCCGGAUUCAUUGGGCGUAAAGAGCUCGUAGGCGGUUCGGCAAGUCGGGUGUGAAAACUCCAGGCUCAACCUGGAGACGCCACCCGAUACUGCUGUGACUUGAGUCCGGUAGGGGACCACGGAAUUCCUGGUGUAGCGGUGAAUGACGCAGAUAUCAGGAGGAACACCGGUGGCGAAGGCGGUGGUCUGGGCCGGCACUGACGCUGAGGAGCGAAAGCGUGGGGAGCGAACAGG